CUUGACGGAGCCCAGCAGCAGCGGGCUGUGCGGGUCGCGGUCCUGGCCGUACGUGGCAAGCAGCGCCUGGGCCUC
rfam:Streptomyces chattanoogensis strain NRRL ISP-5002 ISP5002contig57.1, whole genome shotgun sequence.